rnacentral:rRNA from 1 species
CAAAGAUUAAGCCAUGCAUGUCUAAGUAUAAGCAACUAUACGGUGAAACUGCGAAUGGCUCAUUAAAUCAGUUAUCGUUUAUUUGAUAGUACCCUACUACAUGGAUAACCGUGGUAAUUCUAGAGCUAAUACAUGCUAAAAACCCCGACUUCGGAAGGGGUGUAUUUAUUAGAUAAAAAACCAAUGCCCUUCGGGGCUCCUUGGUGAAUCAUAAUAACUUAACGAAUCGCAUGGCCUUGCGCCGGCGAUGGUUCAUUCAAAUUUCUGCCCUAUCAACUUUCGAUGGUAGGAUAGUGGCCUACCAUGGUUUCAACGGGUAACGGGGAAUUAGGGUUCGACUCCGGAGAGGGAGCCUGAGAAACGGCUACCACAUCCAAGGAAGGCAGCAGGCGCGCAAAUUACCCAAUCCCGACACGGGGAGGUAGUGACAAUAAAUACUGAUCCAGGGCUCUUUCGGGUCUUGGAAUUGGAAUGAGUACAAUUUAAAUCCCUUAACGAGGAACAAUUGGAGGGCA